rnacentral:rRNA from 1 species
UACAGAGGUCCCAAGCGUUGUUCGGAUUCACUGGGCGUAAAGGGUGCGUAGGUGGCAAGGUAAGUUCGAUGUGAAAUCUCCGGGCUUAACCCGGAAAUGGCAUUGAAUACUAUCUUGCUUGAGGGUUGGAGGGGGGACUGGAAUUCUCGGUGUAGCAGUGAAAUGCGUAGAUAUCGAGAGGAACACCAGUGGCGAAGGCGAGUCCCUGGACAACUCCUGACACUGAGGCACGAAAGCUAGGGGAGCAAACAGG